rnacentral:sRNA from 1 species
GGUUUGUUUACAAACCGCAUAUAAUAAUGCGAUGUUUUGUACCUUUGGUACAAAACUCGAUAGAUAAACAGUGAGGCUGAAUUCCUGCCGAACCGUUUAUCGUAU